GUAGGGAAUAUUGGUCAAUGGACGAAAGUCUGAACCAGCCAUUCCGCGUGCAGGAAGAAGAUUCUAUGGAUUGUAAACUGCUUUUAGCAGAGAAGAAACGCCUUCAUUGAUGAGGGUUUGACGGUAUCUGCGGAAUAAGCACCGGCUAACUCCGUGCCAGCAGCCGCGGUAAUACGGGGGGUGCAAGCGUUAUCCGGAAUCACUGGGUUUAAAGGGUGCGUAGGCGGGAAAUUAAGUCAGUGGUGAAAGUCUGUUGCUUAACGAUAGAAUUGCCGUUGAUACUGAUUUUCUUGAAUUGGGUUGAAGUUAGCGGAAUGUGACAUGUAGCGGUGAAAUGCAUAGAUAUGUCAUGGAACACCAAUUGCGAAGGCAGCUAGCUGGGCCUUGAUUGACGCUGAGGCACGAAAGCGUGGGUAGAGAACAGGAUUAGAAACCCGUGUAGUCC
rnacentral:rRNA from 1 species